AGGAUACUCUGGAGAAGUCUGAGAGUCCAGUAGAAUCCCUUGAGGAUUCCCCCAGCUUCUCCAAGGUCUUAUUCAUCUCAGGAGACAGAUUGGAGCUACUGACCAGUACGGAUGAUGAAGCGUACAUGCCAGACGAGAAGCCAAUGGUUUUACUGAUGAGCAGAUCAUGGCAUGACCUGAGAGGACAGGAGAUGGGGUCACUGAUGGGAGCGCCAGCGGCAG